rnacentral:rRNA from 1 species
GACAGAGGGUGCAAACGUUGUUCGGAAUUACUGGGCGUAAAGCGUGUGUAGGCGGUCUCAUAAGUCGGAUGUGAAAGCCCCGGGCUCAACCCGGGAAGUGCAUUCGAAACUGCGAGGCUAGAGUAUCGGAGAGGUUGGUGGAAUUCUCGGUGUAGAGGUGAAAUUCGUAGAUAUCGAGAGGAACACCGGUGGCGAAGGCGGCCAACUGGACGAAUACUGACGCUGAGACACGAAAGCGUGGGGAGCAAACGGG